AUUACAUCCCAGUGGGCCUUCUUAUUGAUACUUCCCAGCAGGAGUUUCAGUCUGAUAAAUUGGUCAGGAUCCAGUUGGUCUGAUUCCCAUUUGAAUGCAUUACAAAACAGGAGGAUUUCAGCAUUACUGUCAAAAAGAUUUUCAGACAGACUAAAGAAGAUUCCCUCGAGCAACAUCCUACAUAUCACAGCUCAUUCAACAGAGCAGUGGAUGCCCUUGAUACCACAGACAGAAACAUUCUCUGUGCUGUACACUCUCAGGUAAUUGCAGAAUGAGAUUCAGCCUAAUACACCUUUUAGUUUAUUUGUUUCCACCACAAACUGCACUUCUCUCUAUAUUGUCCACAAGGUAGGCCAUGGUUCAGCUGCGAGACUAGCAAGAAUGAGCCAUUGGCCUCAGUGCCAAGUUUGGCACUGGUGGAGGCUGAGACUGAGACUUGUGAUUUAAAGUGAUUUUUAAAAUUAAUUUGUAGCCAGAUGCCAAACCCAAUCAUUAACACUGCUUCAAACUUCAGAUUCUGGUUCUUUGAUACAUAUUUUUGUAGUGGGGUUGCUGAUUUCUUUUGCUUAGUUUAGUUUUAAAAUAAGCUAUUUUCUGCUUUAUGAAAUAGAAUACAAUGCAUAUUUAGUCUCUUUGGCCAAAGUCUUUUUUUUUUUUUCUUAUUUUUUUACAGAAUUGUAGAGGUUGGAAGAGAGAUCUUCAGGUCCAGCCCCCCUGCCAAAGCAGGUUCUCUAGAGCAGG
rnacentral:lncRNA from 1 species